AUGUCAGGGUCUUCAUUUGGUCUGCCGCUUCUCCUCGAAUCUCCUCCACUGCUUCCUCCUGACCGAUUCCUACCUAUCCUUCUCGUCUUAGUCGGGAAACACAUCCUCUGGGAAGUCUUCCAUGACCGUUUAACACCUAGCAUCUGCCUCCGUGGCAUUCCUCUAGGAUCUCUCUCUGUCACCCUGACUGCAGUACAGUGGUGCCAUCCCAGCUCACCACAGCCUCGACUUUCCAGGCUCAGAUGAUCCUCCCACCUCAGUCUCCUGGGUAACUGAGACUACAGGUAUGCGCCACCACUCCCAGCUAAUUUUUUGUAUCUUUGGUAGAGACAGGGUUUCACCAUGUUGCCCAGGCUGGUCUCAAAACUCCUGGGCUCAAGUGAUCUGCCCGCCUUGGCCUCCAAAAGUGCUGGACAACAGGCAUGAGCCACCAUGCCUGGCCCAUUCCCAUUUUACAAAUGAGGAAGUUGAGGCUUGGAGAGACUUAGGGACUUUUGAAAGAAUUGUGGAGAUGAAUUGCA
rnacentral:lncRNA from 1 species